GCCUUCUUAGCUCAGCUGGCAGAGCGUAUCCCUCGUAGUUGGUGAGCAAUCGCCGCUGGUAGGAUAAGGUCGUCGGUCCGAUUCCGGCAGAAGGCA